AUCUUGCUCUUAAACGACUUUGACAUAAUCUUCGUUUUAUCCUAUGCAUUCCAUUCACUUGUCUUAGUUAUCGUACACUUCAGUAACAUCUUAUAUUAUUGCCCGUGAAUCAAAAAAUCGAAGGCUAUAAUCUUAUAGCGAAGAAUUGCAUAAAGGCGCGAUUUAUCACUUAUACUUUAGAAAUUCAGUAAACGAAAAUUAGUAUUAAAAUGUUGGAUCAAUAAAUACAAUGGAAAAAGAUCUGUGCUCUGAAAGUAUUUUAGAGACUGGCGUCGUUUAAGCUCUACAAUAUACAGCAAACAUACAAUAUUGCCAAGUAUGAACAAGUUAUUGUCUACACUGCGUGCUCUGUAAGCAAUAUUAAGUAUUUGUACGAAAUUGCCAAUAUAUAUAC